AGAGUUUGAUCCUGGCUCAGGAUGAACGCUAGCUACAGGCUUAACACAUGCAAGUCGAGGGGCAGCAGGACGAUAGCUUGCUAUUGUUGCUGGCGACCGGCGCACGGGUGAGUAACGCGUAUCCAACCUUCCCGCAAGUAGGGGAUAGCCCGGCGAAAGUCGGAUUAAUACCCUAUGUUCUUCAUGGAUGGCAUCUGAUAUGAAGCAAAGAUUCAUCGCUUGCGGAUGGGGAUGCGUCUGAUUAGGCAGCAGGCGGGGUAACGGCCCACCUGGCCGACGAUCAGUAGGGGUUCUGAGAGGAAGGUCCCCCACACUGGUACUGAGACACGGACCAGACUCCUACGGGAGGCAGCAGUGAGGAAUAUUGGUCAAUGGGCGUAAGCCUGAACCAGCCAAGUAGCGUGCAGGAUGACUGCCCUAUGGGUUGUAAACUGCUUUUACAGGGGAAUAAAGUACACUACGCGUAGUGUUUUGUAUGUACCCUGUGAAUAAGGACCGGCUAAUUCCGUGCCAGCAGCCGCGGUAAUACGGAAGGUCCGGGCGUUAUCCGGAUUUAUUGGGUUUAAAGGGAGCGCAGGCCGGUGAUUAAGCGUGACGUGAAAUGGUGCGGCUCAACCGUAGCAGUGCGUCGCGAACUGGUUGCCUUGAGUGAGUGCGACGUGGACGGAAUUCGUGGUGUAGCGGUGAAAUGCUUAGAUAUCACGAAGAACCCCGAUUGCGAAGGCAGUCCACGAGUCCUUAACUGACGCUAAAGCUCGAAAGUGCGGGUAUCGAACAGGAUUAGAUACCCUGGUAGUCCGCACGGUAAACGAUGGAUGCCCGCUGUAUGCGAUACAUUGUAUGCGGCCAAGCGAAAGCGUUAAGCAUCCCACCUGGGGAGUACGCCGGCAACGGUGAAACUCAAAGGAAUUGACGG
rnacentral:rRNA from 1 species